ensembl:lncRNA
GGAGCAAUGUAUUCCAUCCCGUGCUGCUGCACUUUUUUUUUCUGUAGCCUAUGCCUACAAAGGGGGAUAAGUCAAUUUUUUUAAGUGGUGAAAAAGAGGCUAAGGGGGGAAAUUACUCGUGCACAGUGCUCCCUUAUAAAGAGAUGAUCGUGUAGGUGGGACAGAACCAGACUUUUCUCAAGAUGCCCAACCACAGCAGAAGCAAGAGCUAUACUUGAUGAAAAGGAAACUUGGCUAGACAUCCCAAAAAAUCACACUGAAGAUGCAGAGUGGCUGUGAAAUCUCAAGCACUGAAGAUGUUUAAAAUUCAAGGUACAAGGUCCCAGAGAACAGGAUCUGACUUAGUGCUGUUUUGAGCAGGACUAAGGGGACUCAACAGGAGGAAAAGCAUAUACUUUCAGAGUCAUGCAAGAAGCCCAGUCACGUUAUACCAGUGGAGACUUCAGUGUGUAAGGACCGAUUUCCUCAGAGGGAGUAAACAUAAGUGAUGUCCACUGAGGUCUAUGAGAAGUGUCAAUUUUUAUUACUGCGAAGAAAUUAAAGGAAAAGGAGUGUUGCAGGUGAUGAAGAAAAUACUUGUCAUCACAAAAAGCUCAUGUUCUUAACUCUUAAAAAAACUGUUACUGGACUGAACUACACAUGUCAGCUGGAGAAUCCUGGAAGAAGCCCGAUUUUCAAUAAAUGACUUUCAAAGCAAGGAACAUACACAGAGGAGAAUUUAGAGUGGGAAUGAGUUACCCCCCUCUGAAUUAUUGCAUGGUUGUGCUGUUUGAUGUCAAGAGGCCUUUGCACUGCUCUGGAGUAGAUAUACCAGUAUUUUUCCUCCAAGCUCUGUCUCCCCAUCUGGCUCCACACUUGAUUGUGCCUCAGGGCAAGAAGCAGGGUGGUACAAGUACCUACAUGUACAGCUGACACAUGCUUUCAUCAUAUUAUAGACUUCAGUACCUUUUCAUUCUCUGUAUCUGAAAAGUGUAGCAUGAUAUAAAAGGCACAGUAUCAUUAUUUUUAACCAUUUUAUCAUCUAUUUUGCAGUUGGACUUGAUCUUUUUCCAACCUGAACAAUUCUAUGAUUCUACAAUUCUAUGAUGAGUAACAAGAGAUUAACUCAAAUGCUUACAUAUUUAAACUGCUGUUUGAGCAUUUCAAAAUUGAUACUUGCUUGUUCAAGACCUCAUUGCAACAAUUUCAGAAGAGGAUCUUCAGUAUAAAAUACUGAUUUCACUCAUUAUAACACCAGACCAUGACAGAAAUCUCUGACUUAGAUCUGUGCUGAACUUUGGCUUACCUUGAACAAAAUUUAAAUAUCAACAUGUUUUGUUUCCAGAGUAUCUCCAAUUAAUAAAUGCAUUCAUUUGAAAACACUUCACCUCAAGUUCCUCCAGGUCCACCUUUUAAAUAAAGGCCUAUUUUCUCUUCCUGACAUCAUUCGCAGCAAAGACAGAUAGAUUGUGUGCAGAGUUUAUUACAAGAUCGAUCAAGAUAAUUGAGGUAUAAUUUUCUCAGUGAUUUCUGUCAUCAUUUUUAAAGGCAGGGAUGAUUAUGUUUCUCUUUCACCCAUCUGGGAAAACACACAGUGUUCUCAUGUAAUUUGAACAUUUCAGCAAGGAUGUGAGACCAUCUUUUUGGAUGUAACUAAUAGCUCUGCCAUUAGGCCAUCCUCUCUCGAGACUUCAUUUUUCUUAUUAAUAAUCAUCAACACUAUCUCUUGUUCAGAAAAAAAAGAAAAAGAAAAAGAAAAGAAAGAGCCACACCUAAGACUUUUUCUCAUUGGCAUAACAGCCAAUUUCAAAUUUAAGAUGUGGCUUAUGCUUAUGACAAUUCAAAUGCUCCCUAUGAAAUCUCCAGAGAGAAUCCCUUUCUUUUUUCCCCACUUUUUUUUUUUUUUUUUAAGAAUGUUUAUUUAAGUUACUUUUGUGGGUUUUUUUUAAGGCUAUUUCAAAACUAAACUCCAAGUCCCCUAAUUUUGCUCAAGUAACCACAUGAAAUUUUCUAAUUUACACCAAUUUUUCCAUGCCAUAAUUUAAGUGAAUUAUUCUUAAUUACAUCUAACCUUUCAGUAGAACAAGAUCCUGACUGUCUACUUUGUUAUUUUUCUCUUGGUCUUUUUUUUUUUUUUUCCUUGUGUACUAUUCUGUUUUGGUAACUGUGAUAUCCUCUAUCACAAAAAGCAUUCUGAAAAGCAUCUGAAAUACAAUUUCUUUGGUCCAAUAUUCAAUAAAUUUCUGGAUCUGUGAUGGUAAUGCUCAGUUUUACUGUCAUCACCUAUAUUCCAAUCGACUGUAACCAUUAGUACUCUACCCAGGAAUUUUGUUUCAAUCACUUUCACCUCUUAACACCCGAAAGGAAUAAGGCUUCAAGUUGAAGUUUUGGCCUUUGCUUAUUACUAAGAUAAAACCAGGACAUCAAAUAGGUUAACAACACACCCAUGAUGGUAUAUUAUUGUCUAAGUAGUUUGUAUUAUUGUUUUGAAUCCUGGUUUUAUUAUUCUUCCAUAACCGACAGAGUUAAAGCAUUACUUCUGGAUAUGAGACCUGUGAUCUCCAAGGAUGUUUGUGAUGUAAAUAUACUUAAGCUUCAAGGUCCAUCUCUAAGCAUCUAUGUCCACAUUAAACAUUCUUUGUGUUAUAUAUCUAUAUACAAACAAUUUCUGAUGUAUAAUAAACUUAUUCAGUUACAG